GAUUGUUAUGCCUUGGUUAUGCCGUCCGUGAGACCGUGACAGCAACCAGCAGUUUCACCAGCUGUUUUGUUUCAACUUUUCGUGGCGGCGAUUAAGAAUGGGGGUCUUGGUCUUUAGAAAUUGAUAUUUCUUACAGCUGAUUCCCUGGUAUUCGAAGUAACUUUCCUCGUUAUUCACCGCAUUUGGGAAGUUUCUAAUAUGGUAUGUUGGCAAGGAUGUCAUUCUGUGGGAGCGAGUGAUGCUACUAGAAGCCUGACUUUUUUUUUUACAAAGAAGUGUAAAAAUUAGCAAGACGUCUUUGGCUCAAAAAGACAAUAAUAUUUAUACAAAACUUGGUGAACAUGGAUUGAUUGACAGUUAUCAGAUCUUUUGAAUGGCAAAAGCAGAACAGCUAACUAUCACAUGUCAGUGUAAGAUUUUCCAGCCAGAAUUUCCAGCAACUCAGCAUUUGAUUAACACAACUGUAAGCAAGGACUCGGCAAAUACAAUGACUAGCCCAUAUUCAAAUUGUAGCACAAUAUUUGUACAAUCGUGAUUUUUCCGAAAUACGUAAGGACGUUAGGUACGAAUGUACGAUGCCGAAACUUAUGUCACGAUAAAAGGUAUUGACUUACAAAUGAAGAGCGUAUUCGAGUCACCGAACAUUUGGGAUCGUUUCGUGAAUUCAUCCAUUUAAAGCGUGUUCUUACACAUUUUUUAUCCGGGACAAAUGUCACGCGUUGGCUGAAUUUCUUCCCCGCGGAUUAUGGCUUAUGUAAUUGAUCCAAAUCCACGUAAUGGGAAUUGAUGAUGGAAAUUUAUCAUUUGCAGCCUUUUGCUUUUUGCUAAUUCUGUCUUCUAUCAGAGUCAUAGAACGUGUUAUGACUCUGCUUCUAUCUAUCAAUCUAUGUAGGGAAAAGCAGAGUCAUAGACCCCUGGUUCGUCCACUAUGGCUAUUUUUCCUCUCAGAAAAGGAGUACUCUCUUGGGGGGAUUGCUAUACAAAAAAGCGGGGGUUUUGGGUCGGGGCGAAAGAUCCGCGCGGUGGGAGCGCCUGUUGUUGUUCACUCCACGCAGAAACUCAUUUGUCGACAGAUGGCAUUCCCACCGGGCGGAAAAUCACUCGUACAGCCCGACCGUGCCCCGACCGUCCCCGACCCAAAACCCUUGCUCCUAGACGGGAAGUGAACACAAAGCCUGGAAGUGUUGUAGAAUGUUGAGCACUCAUCUGUGGAGGAAAUCUAAUUGACAGGAUUCAAAUAUCGUGAGACUGAGAAAACACAGAAAAACUGUUGCAUAAAAGUUACUAAGGUAAAAUGGAAAGAGGCUACUACAAAAUCAAUUCACCAAAAAUUUUAAUAGAUUUACAAAAAUAGGAUUUUCUGGCAGUAUUGAAAGUUUAAAACUGAAGUACCACAAAAUUAUUUUAUCCUUUUCUAUUAGUAAAUUGCAAUACAAAUUGAUUGCUCUUUUGGUUUUUGGCACCAAUUAAUCUUGUUCUUUAUGUUACAUUAGGUGGAACUGUGUUGCUGAUGAAACAUCCCUGACAAUUACUAAACUUUGUAGUUAAGACUGAUGAGAAUUUGAAGCAAAUCCAGAGUUAAUAAGAGCAGGUCUAUGUUUAACAUUGAAUAUUUGAAUGAAUUUAUGUAACCCUUUGUCUAUUUAGCUCAUGGAAUAGGGUCAGCCCACAACUUAACUUAAAUUAAUAAUUUAUUUAUUUAACUGAUAAUUAUUGUUUGAAGGAGACACUACACCAGGGACAACAGAAGUGUAGCCCUUCAAAGCAUUAUUUUAUAGAUAAUUCAACUUAUUGGGCAGGUUCACAAUUGUGUCACUGGAAAUGGGCAGCCGACAUUUCCCGUAUAUUUCCAAGACAUCUAGGGGAGAAAUAACUAACCCCGCAGAAUUUUUAUGGACGUCAGCUGCCCCGUCAGCUGCUCCAUUUCGCGUGGUUUCGGACUGAGGAUGGAUGCCAAAACGAACGUCUCUCUUCUCGAAAUUUUACCAUCGAUUCCCUGUGUUUUGAGCUGCAUCUUGUGAAUUCAAUUAAUGCAGAGUUGUUCAAGGUCUUUGGGAUGUUCCUGAUGUACUGUGGUGACCGCAAAUUCAUUGAAUGACUUGGUUCAAUCCACGACUUGGUUUUUUAAAUAGUGGUUUACAGUUUUAAUUUGCAGAGAUCCUGGAGGAACCUGAUAUGUUGCACUGGUGUUGGAGUCACUCGGUGACAGAAGAGAAUGGCACUUAAGUAAAGUUAUCAGUGUAAAUAAAACAUAUCCAGUAUUAUUCUUGUGUUUGUUGAAUUAUUACCUCAUUCAACGGAAACAAAGAAGUUAAAGAAGUGAUUGCAUUUGACAGUCAAAUGUACAAAGAAAACAAUUUAUUCGCUGGUGUUUCACCGACAAUGAAAUAUAUUGAAAUAAGUACAGUU